UACGUAGGGGGCUAGCGUUGUCCGGAAUCAUUGGGCGUAAAGCGCGUGUAGGCGGCCCGGUAAGUCCGCUGUGAAAGUCGGGGGCUCAACCCUCGGAUGCCGGUGGAUACUGUCGGGCUAGAGUGCGGAAGAGGCGAGUGGAAUUCCUGGUGUAGCGGUGAAAUGCGCAGAUAUCGGGAGGAACACCAAUGGCGAAGGCAGCUCGCUGGGACGUUACUGACGCUGAGACGCGAAAGCGUGGGGAGCAAACAGG
rnacentral:rRNA from 1 species